rnacentral:rRNA from 1 species
GACGAACGCUGGCGGCGUGCCUAAUACAUGCAAGUCGAACGCACUCUCGUUUAGAUUGAAGGAGCUUGCUCCUGAUUGAUAAACAUUUGAGUGAGUGGCGGACGGGUGAGUAACACGUGGGUAACCUGCCCUAAAGUGGGGGAUAACAUUUGGAAACAGAUGCUAAUACCGCAUAAAACCUAACACCGCAUGGUGUAGGGUUGAAAGAUGGUUUCGGCUAUCACUUUAGGAUGGACCCGCGGUGCAUUAGUUAGUUGGUGAGGUAAAGGCUCACCAAGACCGUGAUGCAUAGCCGACCUGAGAGGGUAAAUCGGCCACACUGGGACUGAGACACGGCCCAGACUCCUACGGGAGGCAGCAGUAGGGAAUCUUCCACAAUGGACGAAAGUCUGAUGGAGACAACGCCGCGUGAGUGAAGU